rnacentral:rRNA from 1 species
GACGAACGCUGGCGGCGUGCCUAAUACAUGCAAGUAGAACGCUGAAGGAGGAGCUUGCUCUUCUGGAUGAGUUGCGAACGGGUGAGUAACGCGUAGGUAACCUGCCUGGUAGCGGGGGAUAACUAUUGGAAACGAUAGCUAAUACCGCAUAAGAGUAGAUGUUGCAUGACAUUUGCUUAAAAGGUGCAAUUGCAUCACUACCAGAUGGACCUGCGUUGUAUUUGCUAGUUGGUGGGGUAACAGCUCACCAAGGCGACGAUACAUAGCCGACCUGGGAGGGGUAUCGGCCACACCGGGACUGAGACACGGCCCAGGCUCCUACGGGAGGCAGCAGUAGGGAAUCUUCGGCAAUGGACGGAAGUCUGACCGAGCAACGCCGCGUGAGUGAAGAAGGUUUUCGGAUCGUAAAGCUCUGUUGUAAGAGAAGAACGAGUGUGAGAGUGGAAAGUUCACACUGUGACGGUAUCUCACCAGAAAGGGACGGCUAACUACGUG